CGCGUAGGCGGCAAUUCAAGUCAGCUGUGAAAUCUCCGAGCUUAACUCGGAACUGUCAGCUGAUACUGCUUUGCUAGAGUGCGGAAGGGGCAAUCGGAAUUCUUGGUGUAGCGGUGAAAUGCGUAGAUAUCAAGAGGAACACCUGAGGUGAAGACGGGUUGCUGGGCCGACACUGACGCUGACAGCGCGAAAGCCAGGGGAGCAAACG
rnacentral:rRNA from 1 species